rnacentral:rRNA from 1 species
AGUAAUAGUUAUUUUCUUUAAACUCAAAGAAUUUGGCGGUGCUUUAGUCUAUUUAGAGGAAUUUGUCCCGUAAUCGAUAGUCCUCGUUAUAUCUUUCUUGGUUUCGUUUAAUCAGUAUGUAUAUCGCCGUUAUAAGUUUAUUUUUUUAGAAUUAAAAAUUUACUUUAAAAUUUAUUUAUUUAUAUUUCAGGUCAAGGUGCAGCUUAUAACUAAGUGGAGAUGAAUUACAAUAUUAUCUUAAUAUAUGGAUUAUAUUUUUAAAAUUUAUAUGAAGGUGGAUUUAAUGGUAAUUUUAAUAAUAAUAGUAUUUUGAUUAUAGCUCUAAGGCGAGU